rnacentral:lncRNA from 1 species
CAUGUUUUUAAAGAAGUAAAGGCAGGCUAAAGGCGAGAAGUAAAGAAAAAGUUCCUCUGCUCAGAUAGGUGGAUUUUUGUUGUCGGAGCAAUACAAGGAAAAGCAAUGUCAGCCGCCAAAGGAAAAUGAGAUUCUUACAACAGUUAGUACCACAGUUAGCACAAAACGGUGCACUUUGUGCUAACUAUAAAAGAGGUGACUGUGGCUUGCACACGCACACAGCUCCCACACUCUGCCUAAUUCUUGACCUCUCUUCCCCACAGCAAUCGAGCAAAACCCACACGACAGUCACACCAAAACGCAGCCGUUUCUCACGCAUCCUCAUUAUGCUCUGUGCUCUCUUCGUCAACUUUCUCCCUCUCUCUCACUGUGAGUGUCUCCACACUUGGUUGUUGGAUCUGUCUUUGUCUCUACCCGUCGAUUGCAUCCAUCACGGCUUCAUCCCGUUGAUUGCAGUUGCAGCUUGACCAAAAGGAAAAUGAAUAUUUGGUCCAGUCCCACAUGAGCUGAAGAAGAAAUCUCAGUUUGGUGUCCUUGCUUUUGCUGAGCAUUCUGCCUGAUUUUCAUGAUGGAUUUUGAUCUCUAAGUUUUUGGUUCUUAUUAUUGUGUUGAUUGAUACACACAAAAUUUCACAAUAUUUACUACUAAAUCAUUUGUUUUCUUGAGGCAAAUAAAAGCUAUCACCUUCACUCUUGAAGACAAAGCUUUUCCUUAUCUUUUCUUUGUUACAGUAUGAUUCUUGACCUAUUGCUCUGUGCAAUUAUCUUAUCAACCACCAUUGCAGUUAGUAAUAGCUUUAGGUUAUUGAUGGAAUG